CAGUGAGAGCAGACAAUGUUUUGUAUUGCAGCUCUCUCAGCAGUUGCAGGAAAGAACCUGUGGGUUUAACACUUCUUCUUUGACUGUUUGUUGUGCUAAACAUCACAGCUAGUGUGGAUGGUGGGAGGCAAAACGGACGUAGCUGGUGGCCGGGCGUGAGCGUGCGCUCUGAGAAGGGGAUUCCAGCACCAAACCCAAUUAAUGCAGGACAGAUAACUAGGCAUGCUGAGGGAGUAGGAGGAUGUCGGGAAGAAGAGGGGAAGGACCUGGUCAAGGAUGCUGGUUCGACCCACAGUCAGUGACAUCGUCCCAGAAGAGUGCAGUUUUUUGAAGUUCCUCUGGACAUGUGGAGCAAUCCUCAGAAAUCCACCACUGUCGGCUGAUAUACAAGAAACGAUCACUUACCCAAAAUGCAGCAGUUGAUUUCCAUUCAUUUGAUUUAAACUUUCUCCAAUCCUUUUAAUUUUCGUAACAAAAAACCAAACAUUUUUUGCUAAAAUCUGACCAUUUGUAAAAGUGAGGACGUGUCAUUUCAUAAAAGACACUGUGAAAGGUUGUGGUGUCAUCUCAAAAAGUGUACUUAUUUUGUUGAAUUUCUGGUAAAUGUGUUUAUAUAUUAAUCUUUAUACUAAACGUUGUUGCACAAACACAGAUUUUUCAGUACUGAUUAACCAAUAGUUUGUUGAAUUAACAACUGUAUUUGCAAUUUGUUUAAACAAUUUUUUUUAUAUGAAGACAUUCUGUACGUAUGUGAAGUAUACGACAGGACAACAGCAUAAUUUACCGAAACAAUAAAUAAAAUAAAACAAAAAUGAUAGAAAACAAGA